rnacentral:rRNA from 1 species
CAGCAGCCACGGUAAUACAGAGGGUGCGAUCGUUAAUCGGAUUUACUGUGCGUAAAGCGUGCGUAGGCGGCUUCUUAAGUCGGAUGUAAAAUCCCUGAGCUUAACUUAGGAAUUGCAUUCGAUACUGGGAAGCUAGAGUAUGGGAGAGGAUGGUAGAAUUCCAGGUGUAGCGGUGAAAUGCGUAGAGAUCUGGAGGAAUACCGAUGGCGAAGGCAGCCAUCUGGCCUAAUACUGACGCUGAGGUACGAAAGCAUGGGGAGCAAACAGGAUUAGAUACCCGUGUAGUCCCUGUCUCUUAUAC